rnacentral:rRNA from 1 species
UACAGAGGAGCCAAGCGUUGUCCGGAUUGACUGGGCGUAAAGCGCACGCAGGCGGCAGCGCGCGUGGGGUGUGAAAUCUGGCCGCUUAACGGCCAGGCGCCAUCCCAUACGGCGCGUCUGGAGUGAUGCAGAGGUCGAUGGAAUUGCCGGUGUAGUGGUGAAAUGCGUAGAGAUCGGCAGGAACACCCAGGGGGAAACCAGUCGACUGGGCAUCUACUGACGCUGAGGUGCGAGAGCGUGGGGAGCGAACCGG